AGUGAACGCUGGCGGUAGGCCUAACACAUGCAAGUCGAACGGCAGCACAGUAAGAGCUUGCUCUUACGGGUGGCGAGUGGCGGACGGGUGAGGAAUACAUCGGAAUCUACUUUUUCGUGGGGGAUAACGUAGGGAAACUUACGCUAAUACCGCAUACAACCUACGGGUGAAAGCAGGGGAUCUUCGGACCUUGCGCGAUUGAAUGAGCCGAUGUCGGAUUAGCUAGUUGGCGGGGUAAAGGCCCACCAAGGCGACGAUCCGUAGCUGGUCUGAGAGGAUGAUCAGCCACACUGGAACUGGGACACGGUCCAGACUCCUACGGGAGGCAGCAGUGGGGAAUAUUGGACAAUGGGCGCAAGCCUGAUCCAGCCAUACCGCGUGGGUGAAGAAGGCCUUCGGGUUGUAAAGCCCUUUUGUUGGGAAAGAAAAGCAGCAGGUUAAUACCCCGCUGUUCUGACGGUACCCAAAGAAUAAGCACCGGCUAACUUCGUG
rnacentral:rRNA from 1 species